rnacentral:rRNA from 1 species
GGACCCGCACAAGUAGUGGAGCAUGUGGUUUAAUUCGAAGAUACGCGCAGAACCUUACCAACACUUGACAUGUUCGUCGCGACUUUAAGAGAUUAGAGUUUUCGGUUCGGCCGGACGAAACACAGGUGCUGCAUGGCUGUCGUCAGCUCGUGUCGUGAGAUGUUGGGUUAAGUCCCGCAACGAGCGCAACCCUCACUUUUAGUUGCCAUCAUUAAGUUGGGCACUCUGAAAGAACUGCCAGUGAUAAGCUGGAGGAAGGUGGGGAUGACGUCAAGUCCUCAUGGCCCUUACGUGUUGGGCUACACACGUGCUACAAUGGUAUCUACAACAGGAAGCAAAACUGCGAAGGUUAAG